CAGGUUUGAGUGCAUAUGCAAGUGACCCACAGGCUGCAGCAAAUUCUCUCCAUUCCUUGCUUGAUAAAGCAGAAAGUGUAGUGCCCAAAGAGCUGCGAUCGAAAACACCUGUCAGGGUUGGGGCUACUGCAGGCUUGAGGGCGUUGGGACGUGAGGCAUCUGAUAGAAUUUUGGAUGCGGUUAGGGAUCUUAUGAAAGACAGGAGUACCCUGAAAUCUGAGGCAGAUGGAGUAACUGUUCUGGAUGGUUCUCAAGAAGGUUCUUAUGAAUGGGUGACAAUAAAUUACCUUUUAGGAAAAUUGAGUGGACCGUAUUC
rnacentral:misc_RNA from 1 species